rnacentral:rRNA from 1 species
UACGUAGGGUGCGAGCGUUGUCCGGAAUUAUUGGGCGUAAAGAGCUCGUAGGCGGUGUGUCACGUCGGCCGUGAAAACCUGGGGCUUAACUCUGGGCGUGCGGUCGAUACGGGCAUCACUAGAGUUCGGCAGGGGAGACUGGAAUUCCUGGUGUAGCGGUGAAAUGCGCAGAUAUCAGGAGGAACACCGGUGGCGAAGGCGGGUCUCUGGGCCGAUACUGACG